AGCGAACGUUAGCGGCGGGCUUAACACAUGCAAGUCGAGCGAGAACGGGGCUUCGGCCUCUAGUAAAGCGGCGGACGGGUGAGUAUCACGUAGGUAACCUUCCCUUGAGCGGGGGACAACGGUCCGAAAGGACCGCUAAUACCGCAUAAGUUCCCAGGGACUCCGGUCCCUGGGAGGAAAGCUAGGUAGCAAUAUCUGGCACUCCAGGCGGGGCCUACGCCGCAUCAGCUAGUUGGUGGGGUAACGGCCUACCAAGGCGAAGACGCGUAGCUGGUCUGAGAGGAUGAUCAGCCACACUGGGACUGAGACACGGCCCAGACUCCUACGGGAGGCAGCAGUGGGGAAUAUUGGACAAUGGGCGCAAGCCUGAUCCAGCCACGCCGCGUGAGUGAUGAAGGCCU
rnacentral:rRNA from 1 species